UUAGUUGUCUCAAAGAUUAAGCCAUGCAUGUCUAAGUAUAAGCAAUUAUACCGUGAAACUGCGAAUGGCUCAUUAAAUCAGUUAUCGUUUAUUUGAUAGUACCUUACUACUUGGAUAACCGUGGUAAUUCUAGAGCUAAUACAUGCUGAAAACCCCAACUUCGGGAGGGGUGUAUUUAUUAGAUAAAAAACCAACGCCCUUCGGGGCUUCUUGGUGAUUCAUGAUAACUUUACGGAUCGCAUGGCCUUGCGCCGGCGACGGUUCAUUCAAAUUUCUGCCCUAUCAACUUUCGAUGGUAAGGUAUUGGCUUACCAUGGUUUCAACGGGUAACGGGGAAUUAGGGUUCGAUUCCGGAGAGGGAGCCUGAGAAACGGCUACCACAUCCAAGGAAGGCAGCAGGCGCGCAAAUUACCCAAUCCCGACACGGGGAGGUAGUGACAAUAAAUACUGAUACAGGGCUCUUUUGGGUCUUGUAAUUGGAAUGAGUACAACUUAAACCCCUUAACGAGGAACAAUUGGAGGGCAAGUCUGGUGCCAGCAGCCGCGGUAAUUCCAGCUCCAAUAGCGUAUAUUAAAGUUGUUGCAGUUAAAAAGUUCGUAGUUGAAACCUUGGGUCUGGCUGGCAGGUCCGCCUCACGGCGUGUACUUGACCGGCCGGGCCUUCCUUCUGGAGAACCUCAUGCCCUUCACUGGGCGUGUUGGGGACCAGGACUUUUACUUUGAAAAAAUUAGAGUGUUCAAAGCAGGCCUUUGCUCGAAUACGUUAGCAUGGAAUAAUAGAAUAGGACGUGCGGUCCUAUUUUGUUGGUUUCUAGGACCGCCGUAAUGAUUAAUAGGGACAGUCGGGGGCAUCAGUAUUCAAUUGUCAGAGGUGAAAUUCUUGGAUUUAUUGAAGACUAACUACUGCGAAAGCAUUUGCCAAGGAUGUUUUCAUUAAUCAGUGAACGAAAGUUAGGGGAUCGAAGACGAUCAGAUACCGUCGUAGUCUUAACCGUAAACUAUGCCGACUAGGGAUCGGGCGAUGUUCUUUUUCUGACUCGCUCGGCACCUUACGAGAAAAUCAAAGUUUUUGGGUUCUGGGGGGAAUUAUGUCCAAGGCUGAAACUUUAAGA
rnacentral:rRNA from 1 species